rnacentral:rRNA from 1 species
AUUGAACGCUGGCGGCAUGCUUUACACAUGCAAGUCGAACGGUAACAGGGAGCUUGCUCCGCUGACGAGUGGCGAACGGGUGAGUAAUGCGUCGGAACGUGCCGAGUAGUGGGGGAUAACGCAGCGAAAGUUGUGCUAAUACCGCAUACGUACUGAGGUAGAAAGUGGGGGACCUUCGGGCCUCACGCUAUUCGAGCGGCCGACGUCUGAUUAGCUAGUAGGUGGGGUAAAGGCUCACCUAGGCGACGAUCAGUAGCGGGUCUGAGAGGAUGAUCCGCACCACUGGGACUGAGACACGGCCCAGACUCAUACGGGAGGCAGCAGUGGGGAAUUUUGGACAAUGGGCGAAAGCCUGAUCCAGCCAUGCCGCGUGUCUGAAGAAGGCCUUCGGGUUGUAAAGGACUUUUGUCGGGGAGGAAAUCCCCAGCGCUAAUACCGCUGGGGGAUGACAGUACCUGAAGAAUAAGCACCGGCUAACUACGUGCCAGCCGCCGCAGUAAAAC